rnacentral:rRNA from 1 species
GACGAACGCUGGCGGCGUGCCUAAUACAUGCAAGUAGAACGCUGAAGAGAGGAGCUUGCUCUUCUUGGAUGAGUUGCGAACGGGUGAGUAACGCGUAGGUAACCUGCCUUGUAGCGGGGGAUAACUAUUGGAAACGAUAGCUAAUACCGCAUAACAAUGGAUGACACAUGUCAUUUAUUUGAAAGGGGCAAUUGUUCCACUACAAGAUGGACCUGCGUUGUAUUAGCUAGUAGGUGAGGUAAUGGCUCACCUAGGCGACGAUACAUAGCCGACCUGAGAGGGUGAUCGGCCACACUGGGACUGAGACACGGCCCAGACUCCUACGGGAGGCAGCAGUAGGGAAUCUUCAGCAAUGGGGGCAACCCUGACCGAGCAACGCCGCGUGAGUGAAGAAGGUUUUCGGAUCGUAAAGCUCUGUUGUAAGUCAAGAACGGGUGUGAGAGUGGAAAGUUCACACUGUGACGGUAGCUUACCAGAAAGGGACGGCUAACUACGUG